rnacentral:rRNA from 1 species
CAGCAGCCGCGGGAAUACGAAGGGUGCAAGCGUUAAUCGGAAUUACUGGGCGUAAAGCGUGCGUAGGCGGUGAGUUAAGUCUGCUGUGAAAUCCCCGGGCUCAACCUGGGAAUGGCAGUGGAUACUGGCUCGCUAGAGUGUGUCAGAGGAUGGUGGAAUUCCCGGUGUAGUGGUGAAAUGCGUAGAGAUCGGGAGGAACAUCAGUGGCGAAGGCGGCCAUCUGGGACAACACUGACGCUGAGGCACGAAAGCGUGGGGAGCAAACAGGAUUAGAUACCCCCGUAGUCCCUGUCUCUUAUAC